GGAAAAGGAGAACCUCACCCCUCCCUAAGACU
rnacentral:tRNA from 1 species